rnacentral:rRNA from 1 species
GACGAACGCUGGCGGUGUGCUUCACACAUGCAAGUCGAACGAGGUAGCAAUACCUAGUGGCGGACGGGUGAGUAACGCGUGGGAAUCUGCCUUUAGAUGGGGGAUAACGGGUCGAAAGACUCGCUAAUACCGCAUAUGACGAAAGUUGAAAGGAGUAAUCCGUCUAAAGAUGAGCCCGCGUCCGAAUUAGCUAGUUGGUAGAGUAAAAGCCUACCAAGGCGACGAUCGGUAGCUGGUCUGAGAGGAUGAUCAGCCACAAUGGGAACUAGAGACACGGCCCAUACUCCUACGGGAGCAGCAGUGGGAAUUUACGCAAUGGGCGAAAGCCUGACGUAGCGACACCGCGUGAGCGAAGAAG